GAUGAAGAACGCAGCGAAAUGCGAUAAGUAAUGUGAAUUGCAGAAUUCAGUGAAUCAUCGAAUCUUUGAACGCACAUUGCGCCCGCCAGUAUUCUGGCGGGCAUGCCUGUUCGAGCGUCAUUUCAACCCUCAAGCCCCAGCGGCCUGGUGUUGGGGACCGGCGACCUCGCCCGAGCCCGCCCUCCGGGGCGCGUGCCCGGUGCGUCCGCCGCCCCCGAAAUGAAUUGGCGGCCUCGUCGCGGCCUCCUCUGCGUAGUAGCACAACCUCGCAAGCGGGAGCGCGACGCGGCCACUGCCGUAAAACGCCCAACUUUUUUAGAGUUGACCUCGGAUCAGGUAGGAAUGCCCGCUGAACUUAAGCAUAUCAAUAAGCGGAGGA
rnacentral:misc_RNA from 1 species